CGAAGCUGCGUCUUCCUCGGCUGGUGGAGGGAGCUUUUCGUCGAGUGGAUAUGGCGGUGAUCCUUGUGCUCAAGCUUCGUCGCUACAGAAAGAGACUUAGGCUGGCUUUUCGCAUUUUCCUGUGAGACGCUGCCCCAUUGACAAAUGCAUUCGUUAUAGUUAAGCACCUAGGUUUAAAGAAAAGAAGCUGGCAUGGAGGUUAUUGGGGGAUUUUAAGGGUGGGGAAGAACCCAAGACUACAAAGGAAAUGAAGCCUGGAAAAUCAGUAUGGACUGUUUUGCCAGAGUUUAAAUGACAACUUUUAAAUCAGAACCAUGAACCUAUAGGAGUCCAGUAUAUUCUGAAGUAAUUUGCAUACUAAUGAGCAGCAGCAAGAGAGACAUUUGGUGGACUAAAAAGACCUAAUGAAAAUUAAGAGACACAGGCACUUCCCUGGUGGCACAGUGGUUAAGAAUUCACCUGCCAAUGCAGGGGACAUGGGUUG